UCUACCACUCGUUCAUUCCAAAAGUCGCCACUUCGUGGCUCGUUUUUGAAUUUUGAACUCGUGGAAGAAUAUCAAUGCCUUCUGCACCUGUAUUAUAAAUAACUAUAAUAUUGUUAACUUGACAUUUACAUUGAUCUCACUUUGGGAAAACAACCGUGAAAGUUGGAAAGUAAUUGACAAAGAGUGUGACACAGAAUUAUUUCUUUUCUUAUGGUUUUUCACCAUACCGUUCAUAAGCCAAUAAGCAUUUAAUUGAAUAUAUAUAAAUUCAAAACAUCAAAUGAAUCGAUAAAAUAUAGCUAAUCAUGAAUUUUGAAUAUAAUAAAAUAAUUAUUUAUGGAGUGAAAAGCAUCACGAUUUCUUGGAAAAAUGUUUUCACACUGUAUCUUUUUCGGUAAUACGAACUUGUAUGUUCCUUUUUUUAGUGAGGAUGUGUUUGAACAUAAACCUACUCCAAACCGUCUUUGCCAUAAGGGUAUUACACUUCCAAUGCUAUUUUAUCCGAAUUUUUUUUUCAGGUUUACGGAGAAUUAAACAAAAAUUAUUUUUCGGAAUAAAUAAUAGAAACACAGAAAUAAGAAUUAUUUUUUCAGGCAAACUAACACUUUCUAUGCUACUUUAUCCGAAUUUUGUUCCCAGGUUCCCGGAAAGUUAAUCAAAAAUAAUUUUUUGAAAUACGUAAUAGAAGAAGAAAAAUAGGAAUUAUUUUUUCAGAAAAAUUAGUAUUUAUGUUUUUUGUUUCACAUUAAUAUUGGCACUAUAAAUUCAUGAAUAAGUGUUUUACUUUUCAUUUCGUAUCUGAACUAUUAACACCAUUGUCAUGAAGGUUGUGCUUCAAUUUUUUGAUGUUAUUAGUAUUUACUGCCUCAAAUUUUUUAAAUUUAUUUCUGAUUCCAAUUUUCGAAUCUUCUUCCGUCAAGAAUGCGGUCGAUUCCAAGGGCUCCGGACUAAAAAACAACGAAAAAUUAAUUUUCGCUGCCUUCCGUUUUUUAAUUUAAUUGUGAUUGUUCCCCCAAACUUCUAUUGUUAUAAGAGUUCCACUUUUCCAAUUCAUCAUAAAGAUUGGUACUUGUUUUUCUUUUCCUUUCUGGAUUUUCAUAGUCCUCAAAGAAUUGAGAAAUAUUCUCCUGAAUAUAACAUUCACAUUGAGGAUUUAUCUCAAUCUGCUGAUUCGUCUCCAUUAUCUCUACCGGACCCAAACGACCGUUGUCAGAAGGGUCCCAAUUCUCACAUUCCAGAUCUGCCUCUUCCUAGCUUUACCUUCCCAGGGCUCCGGACUGAAAAACAACGGAAAAUUAGAUUUCAGUGCCUCAAAUUUUUUUAAUUUAAUUCUGAUUGGUUCCAAACUACCGUUGUCAUGAGAAUCCCACUUUUUUCAUUCAUUUUAAAAAUUGAAACACAUUCUUCUUUCCCUUUCUGGAUUUUCAUAGCCUCAAAGGAUUGAGAAAUUUUCUCCUGAAUGUGAGAUUCACAUUUUGGAUCAGUCUCAAUCUGCAAAUUUGUCCAGUUUUUUCAAACCGGCCCAAACGACCAUUGUAUGAACUUCUUUUACUUUCUGGAUUCUCAAAAUCGCUAAAGAAUUGGGAAAUUGUUUCCUAAAUGUGAUGUUCAUAUUCAGGAUCCAUUUCUGGUUGAAAUAAGGAAGAAUCAGCAAAUUGCUGAUCAUCCGUCUCCAUUAUCUCUACCGGACCCAAACGACCGUUGUCAGAAGGGUCCCAAUUCUCUCAUUCCAGAUCUGCCUCUUCCUCAGUCAAGUUGGCUGUACCUUCCCAGGGCUCCGGACUGAAAAACAACGGAAAAUUAGAUUUCACUGCCUCUAAUUUUUUUAAUUUAAUUCUGAUUGGUUCCAAACUACCAUUGUCAUGAGAAUCCCACUUUUUUCAUUCAUUAUAAAAAUUGAAACACAUUCUUCUUUCCCUUUCUGGAUAAUCAUAGUCCUCAAAGGAUUGAGAAAUCUUCUCCUGAAUGUGAGAUUCACAUUUUGGAUCAGUCUCAAUCUGCAGAUUUGUCCAGUUUUUUCAAACCGGCCCAAACGACCAUUGUAUGAUCUUCUUUUACAUUCUGGAUUCCCAAAAUCGCUAAAGAAUUGGGAAAUGGUUUCCUAAAUGUGAUGUUCAUAUUCAGGAUCCAUUUCUGCAUGAAAUAAUAAGGAAGAAUCAGCAAAUUACUGCUCAUUCGUCUCCAUUAUCUCUACCGGACCAAAACGACCAUUGUCAGAAGGGUCCCAAUUCUCGCAUUCUUCUUCUGUCAAGAAUGGGGUCGAUUCCCAGGGCUGGUUGGUUGGCUAGUGUCGGCUAAUAUCAGCAAGAAAUUUCAAUAUAUUGUUGAAGGUAUAUGUAAAGUUCGUGUUUUAUUUAUAUAUUUCUUAUGUUUUCUGAAAAAAAGGUUUAAGGAUUGACAAGAAAAUCUGACAAUUGGUUAGAAAGAACAGAAGUUUAACACAGUUGAAUUAUAGUUUCGUAGAUUACAGAUUCACAAAAAAGUAGUUCCUGUGGUUGGUUAUGCAUAUCCAAUAAAACAUCAAUAAAAUUUCUCCUCACAAAAAUAUCUACACUUUAAAAAAAAUAUAAAAGUAUAUAUAAUAUAUAUAUAAAAGUCGAAACCCUUUUUGGGUGUGAAAAUCACCUUUGAGCAUUCCUUUUUGAAUAUUAAAAAAAGUGAAUAAAUAUAGAAACCUCUAAAUAAAUAGAAAAAAUUUUGUAAAUAUUGAAGGACUCGAUCUUUACUUGACGGAAAUUAAUAUUAUUCCAUUUUGUCAUUAACUGUUAUUUAAAGAAAAAUGUUAUUAUAAUUGUUAUUUAUAAUAAGAGUACAGAAGACAUUGAUAAUCUUUCCCGAG